ensembl:lncRNA
GGGACAGCAAAUGUACACUGUUAUACAAGCUGUACACCUACUACUUUACAUUAUAGCAAAGUGUCAUUUCUUCAGUGUUGUCACAAGAUAUAAUCAUAUUUACAAAAUGUUAGGGGUGUACUCACUUUUGUGAGAUAUUUUAUAUUGUGUUUCAGACAUUCAUACACGUACAGAAACAUAUUUACUUACGUGAAUUGUAGGAUCCUAGACCUUAGGUAAGUUAAGGGGUAUAAUAUUUUGUAACCACGAUUCACCUGUAAUGAAAAAAAUCUAUUAGUAUUCAUAAUGUCACUCAAUAGUUUCAGCAGUGAAAUCAGAGGAAAACCAUUCUUUAAUGAAAAGCUGCUUACCUCCGUAGUAACAUUUGCUGCCAGUUCCUGAUAUGCUGUGGUAGAAGAGUUGGAAUAAUCAUCCAUGAAUGUACGGAUCAUUCUAAAUCCUAAUUCCACUGACCCCUCAUUUGCUGUAGGCUUUGCUGUUGAGUCUGUAGUUGCAGUUGUGGCUGCAGUAGUUGGGGUUAGUGCUGUGGUUGACGUGGCACCUGCCAAGUUUGUUGUUGAAGGAACCGUGAUUUCUGUGGUACCUGCAGUGUUUGUUGUUGCAGCAGUUGUUAAUGUUGGAGUAGGUGUAGUUGAUGAGACAGCUGUAGUGGUUGAUGUUUGAGCUGUUGUUGUAGUUGUUGAAGCUGUAAUUGUUGUUGGAGCAGAUGUGGUUGUUGUAGUGGCAGAUGUGGUUGCUGUGACACCUGCCAUGUUUGUUGUUGCAGUUGUUGUUGAUGUCGCAGUUGUUGUUGGUGCAGGUGUAGUUGAUGAGAAAGCUGUAGUGGUUGAUGUUUGAGCCGUUGUUGUAGUAGUUGCAGCUGUGGUUGUUGUAGUGGCAGAUAUAGUUGUUGUGGCUGUAUCUGUAGUUGACGUGGGUGCAGUUGUUGUUGAUGUGGCAGGUUCUGUGGUUGUUGUGGCAGUUGUAGUUGUUGAGGGAAGUGCUGUGGUUGACGUGGUUGCCGAUGUUGAUGUUGGAGCAACUGUGGUUGUUGUGGCACCUGCCAUGUUUGUUGUUGCAGUUGUUGUUGAUGUUGGAGCAGGUGUAGUUGAUGAGACAUCAGUAGUGGUUGAUGUUUGAGCUGUUGUUGUAGUGGCUGCAGCUGUAGUGGUUAGAGCUGUAGUUGUUGUUGGAGCAGGUGUGGUUGUUGUAGUUGUUGUGGCUGUAUCUGUGGUUGACGUGGGUGCAGUUGUUGUUGACGUGGAAUGUUCUAUGGUUGUUGUGGCAGUUGUAGUUGUUGUGGGAAGUGCUGUGGUUGACGUGGUGGCUUCGGUUGUUGUUGGAGCAACUGUGGUUGUUGUGGCACCUGCUGUGUUUGUUGUUGCAGUUGUUGUUGAUGUUGGAGCAGGUGUGGUUGUUGUACUGGCAGAUGUAGUUGUUGUGGCUGUAUCUGUGGUUGAAGUGGGUGCAGUUGUAGUUGAUGUGGCAUGUUCUGUGGUUGUUGUGGCAGCUGCAGUUGUUGUGGGAAGUGCUGUGAUUGACGUGGUUGCCGAUGUUGAUGUUGGAGCAACUGUGGUUGUUGUGGCACCUGCCAUGUUUGUUGUUGCAGUUGUUGUUGAUGUUGGAGCAGGUGUAGUUGAUGAGACAUCAGUAGUGGUUGAUGUUUGAGCUGUUGUUGUCGUGGCUGCAGCUGUAGUGGUUAGAGCUGUAGUUGUUGUUGGAGCAGGUGUGGUUGUUGUAGUUGUUGUGGCUGUAUCUGUGGUUGACGUGGGUGCAGUUGUUGUUGACGUGGAAUGUUCUAUGGUUGUUGUGGCAGUUGUAGUUGUUGUGGGAAGUGCUGUGGUUGACGUGGUGGCUUCGGCUGUUGUUGGAGCAACUGUGGUUGUUGUGGCACCUGCUGUGUUUGUUGUUGCAGUUG